AAAAAGAAUAGAAAUAGAAACAGAAUAGGCAAAACGAAAAGCAGGGAAAGAAAGAAAGAAAGGAGAAAAGAAAGAAGAAAGGGAAAAUUGAAGGUUUGAAGCUUGAGAUUUAAAUAGACCCCGAGGAACAAAUUCCGAAGACCGAUUGAGGUAAAUGCAAGGUUUCGAAAUAACCGAAACAUAACUCUGAAAUUGUUACCAGCUCUAUGACUCAUAAGGAUUGAAAGACGGGUGGGAGAAGCAACACACUAUUAACUAAACAAGCUUUGGUAUAAAGACUCUGUUUAUUCUGUUCAAUGGCAGGUAUAGUAUUUUUAAGUAUUUUGUUAUAUGUGUCAUUUGAUUUGCCCAGUAAAGGCAUGUAAAAACAUGUUUAUCUCUUUGUAUAUGGCCAUGAAAAUUGGCUUCAUUUAAGUAGGCUAUGACCUACGAUUUUAUGUAUGAUUUUAAUUACAAAUGAUGGGUUACUAUCAAUUGGCAAUGAA